GACGAACGCUGGCGGCGUGCUUAACACAUGCAAGUCGAACGGAAAGGCCCUGCUUUUGUGGGGUGCUCGAGUGGCGAACGGGUGAGUAACACGUGAGUAACCUGCCCUUGACUUUGGGAUAACUUCAGGAAACUGGGGUUAAUACCGGAUAGGAGCUCCUGCUGCAUGGUGGGGGUUGGAAAGUUUCGGCGGUUGGGGAUGGACUCGCGGCUUAUCAGCUUGUUGGUGGGGUAGUGGCUUACCAAGGCUUUGACGGGUAGCCGGCCUGAGAGGGUGACCGGCCACAUUGGGACUGAGAUACGGCCCAGACUCCUACGGGAGGCAGCAGUGGGGAAUAUUGCACAAUGGGCGGAAGCCUGAGGCAGCAACGCCGCGUGCGGGAUGACGGCCGUCGGGUUGUAGACCGCUUUCGCCUGUGACGAAGCGUGAGUGACGGUAAUGGGUAAAGAAGCACCGGCUAACUACGUG
rnacentral:rRNA from 1 species